rnacentral:lncRNA from 1 species
GACAUUGUGACAUAUAUCUAGGCAAAUUGCCUAGAAGUGAAUCCCCUCUCCUGCUUAAGUCCUUCCCACAGAGAGCGGUUUGAUAUGUCACUGAAACCAGCAUCCAGGUGGUAUUGCUCCAUAUGCCUGAGACCCUAACAAAAGCCUAAUUACAACUCAUAUGCCUGGAGCCAGGACAUGUGCAGGAUGACUCUGCCAAGAGAGGGGAUUAUUACAUAUUGCAGAGCCCAGCACCUAGGUGGAGUGACUCUCAUCUUUUUCUUCUACCCCGUAUAUAGCCAGCUUGGUGACCUACUAUUUGAGUCUAUACCCAGGCCCAGACCACAGAUGAAAUUGUGCAAUAUGUGGAACAAACACCUAAACAAUAUAUAACACCUUCCUUGGCUCUGUCUACAAAGGGCACUUUUAUAUAUCACUGGGACCAUCAACCAGGUGAUGUUGUGCCAUAUAACUGAGACCGUAUCAAAAGCCUAAUAACAAGACGUAUGUCUGGAGCCCCGAUAUGCACAGGAUGGUGAUAUAACCCUCUUCUCUGGAAUGGGCCCCACACAAAGGAAGGAUAGUGACAUAUUGCAAGCCCAGGCACACAGGCCCAGAGCACAGUUGAAAUUGUGACAUAUGUACACCAAGCAACCAAGCAAUGUAUAACACCUCAUUUGGCAAUGGAAUCGAGGGCACUUUUACAUAUCACUGAGACCAGCGCCCAGCUGAUGUGAAAUAUUGGCCUGAACCCUGCCUACAAAAGCAUUGUGGCUUUUAUCUAGCUCCAUUACAUAAGUGAUGUGACUUCCUUCUACUGCCUUGGCCCUGCACUUAUGGUGAAUCGUGACACAAAAUUGGGUAGAGCAACCAGCCUGGGCCCUGACCAGCACAGAGAUUGAGGCAUAUUGCUGAACCCAGGACCAAGAUGAAGUCACUCUCCUGCCUUGAUCCUGCACACAGGGACCCUUGUGACAUAUAUACAGGCCAAUUGCCUAGGUAAAGUUUGUCUCCUCUCCUGCCUAAGCCCUGCCCAUGGGGAGGAUUUAGAUAUAUCACUGAAACCAGCA